rnacentral:rRNA from 1 species
UGAGUAACACGUGGGCAACCUGCCCUUUGCACUGGGAUAGCCUCGGGAAACCGAGGUUAAUACCGGAUACUCCAUAUUUGUCGCAUGGCGAAUAUGGGAAAAGCUCCGGCGGCAAAGGAUGGGCCCGCGGCCUGUUAGCUAGUUGGUGGGGUAGUGGCCUACCAAGGCAAUGAUGGGUAGCCGGGUUGAGAGACCGACCGGCCAGAUUGGGACUGAGACACGGCCCAGACUCCUACGGGAGGCAGCAGGC